ACGCUCGACACCUACGGGAGCCAGCAGUGGGGAAUAUUGCACAAUGGGGGAAACCCUGAUGCAGCAACGCCGCGUGAAGGAAGACGGUUUUCGGAUUGUAAACUUCUGUUCUUAGUGAAGAUAGUGACGGUAGCUAAGGAGCAAGCCACGGCUAACUACGCGCCAGCAGCCGCGGUAAUCUGAGCGGGCUGGCAAGGC
rnacentral:rRNA from 1 species